rnacentral:lncRNA from 1 species
AAAAAUAUCUUAAUAGUGAACGGAGGGAGUAGAAGAUAAGGUUUAGAAGUGCUCCUCUACUGAGUAUGAACGAAGUAAAUUAUGGAACUCGCGGCGGAUCUUCCUCAAGUAUGUACAGAUAUAAAUAAAAGAUUGACGUGGGAUCUCGGUGCAUUUUAUUUUCUUGAUCAAAAGAGAGGCCCCCCUCUCCGAUUUCACUAAGAGAAACCAAGGUUCACAGCUACUACUAGGGUUUUUGUUACCCCGCACACGACAUACUAUCUUACAUGACCGGGGAUUACGACGAACCCCAGCCCAGCACCUCAAAAGGAUCGUGCAAGAUCUGAAAAUAAAAGCAGAGCACCCACACAACACUUCAGACACAGCAUACAGUAGUUGGAAGCAAAGCCUAGCACAUCAUAGCUAAAGCAAGAACUAGAUAACGGCUGAGGCAGCAGCAACGACGAAGAAGGUAAGCCACUGGGAAGACGAUCGGGACCUCAGCGCAUGCUCAUACAUCUCAAGCAUCGACGGAUGCAAUGUUGGUGGCAUCGUUGCAGAACCGGCCGCACGCAUCGCCGCAGCGCCCCACGCCGACUUUCGUGUCUUCGCCAAGCUCAGCUGAUGACAAGAUCAAGAUGUGUGCAAUGCUCAUUCCAAACCGAAAAAAAAACUUUUCCCUCUUAUGAUAAAUUGAAAGUUAUAUAUACAGAUGAUGAGUUAAUUCAGAUACUACCUGAAUUGACGUUGUCACAGACUGAGAGCCUACAUCCUAAUUUGCAGUACUCAAUGGCGUCUGGUUCUUCUUCCGCAACAGCAGGAGCAAGCAUUAGUCAACCAGCCGUUAAUUGCAAUUUCUAUGCAUCUGGGAGCAAAAUGAUGUAGAGAAAACAGGAAGGGUGGCUUGGGUUCACGUACCAGCUGAACCGGGGAGAAGGUUGAGCUUAGGGUAUUCCCUGGGGCAUGUGCUGUCCCUUGUGAGCACACAGCCACACAUUUUUGAGCAGGGAGUACUGGGGUGCACAAGAAGGCACACGUUGUAACAGUUUCUUGACCUGGUGUCUCUGCAGCAGCUCUUGCCCUCUGCUACUUGGAUUUGUCCCUGGACAAGCAGUCCCAGUAUCAGUAUGAGUGCACACAUGAUCACGCUCUUGAAAUGCUUGCUCUCCAUGGCUGCCUUCCCUGCUGCGAAAACGCACAGGAACAAGACUCGUAUAUAUGGCCCCAAUUUAUAGGAGACGAUGCUCCGCAUGGGCAGUAAUUGUUGAGAAGUGAUAUGCAUGAAUGAGCCGUGCUCCGCUGAGAGCCACGUACACGGUUGAGAUCGUCUACGUGUGCGCUGCGUGCCCUAGGCGAUUAUGCGGUGCCCGCUAACUCCUACCUGCCUCGUGCAUUAAGUUUUCACGUGCAGCUCUUGUGCCAUGGCCGACUAGGAUGUUUUUAGGUGUAUUUUACUUUACUCUUGUGUUAUGGACAGAUACGUGGCCACUCGACCGGUUGUCCUCGUCGACGGUACCUCGCCCAGAAGAUGCCUACUCUCCAUCCUCAUUAGCUUCCGUGUUCUUCUUCUUUUUUCUUUUCUCUUAUUUAUUUUUCAAGAAAACUUCCGAUAUAUUCAUCUGCAAUCAUGGCACUACAACAAACAUCUUAAAUAAUAAAAAUUAUAUCCAGAUCCGUAGACCACCUAGCGACGACUACAAGCAUUGAAGCGAGCUGAAGACGCGCCGCCGUCAUUGCCCCUCCCUUGCAGGAGCUGGACAAAACUUGUUCUAGUAGACAGUCGAAAAAUCGUCGUACUAAGGCAACCGCCGCCGAUGAAGAGAGUAGUGUAGAUCGAAAGAAUUCAAUCUGAAAACACAUGAACAUAGACGAACUAUGAUCAGAUCCGAGCAUAUCCAGCAAGAACAGAUCCGCCGGAGACACACCUCCACAUGCCCAUCGAUGAUGCUAGACACACCAUCGGGAGGGCAGGCUGGGAGAACCUUAUUCCAUCUUCAGGGAGCUGUUGUCGUCUCGUCUUCUUGAAUAGGACACAAACUCUAACAAAAUACGAAGGAACAACUGAAAACAAAGCCCUUCCCCGACAAGGGCCGAGAUCCACCACACCACCAUGGCCCUAAAACCAUCGCAGACGACACGUACCGACGGCAGUACCAGCAGGAGGUGGGGGAACCCUAGACCAGCAAUUUUGUGGCCCAAGUUAGCACCUAGGAAAAAUUCUUCUUCUACUACUUCUUCUCUCUUAGGCUGCCCGUAAUGGAAGUAUCACACUCCCUCCGUCCGGGUUUAUUGGGCCCCUGGGCGGAGGGAGCUCGUCCGCUCUUAUUAGGCCCCUUAAUCGAUAUGGCUGUCAAAAGCAGAAAACGCUUCGUUGCUUUCUCGAUCUCCUCAGCCGCGGUUCAUCUUCCGAAGCGCAUUAAAUUUCCAUCCGCUGGCAUGCAGAAGAAGCUGCUAUACAUUGAGCGGACUAGUACUCCUAGCACAACGCCACAACAGUAGUCCCAGGAAAGAAACCAGCGUCUCGCCGGCCGGAUGCAGCGCUGUACCAGCAAUGUCGUCGCGACCGAAGGCGGAGCACAGCGUCGACGUUGAUCCGGACGCGGAGACCCAGUCCGGGCUGGGCUUGGACGCGUCGCCGACCAACCUCGCCGCUGCUGGGCACGCAGAGCUCAGUGUCCAUGGUGCGUCGCUGGCGGAGCACAGCGUGGACGUCGAUCCGGACGCGGAGACCCAGUCCGGGCUGGGCUUAGGCGCGCCACUGCCAGACCUCGUCGCUGCUGGGCACGCAGACCUCGGCGUCCAUGAUGCGCCGCAGGCCGAGCACGACAUGAAGGUCGCUCCCGACGCGGAGACCCAGGCGGAGCUGGGCUUGGGCGUCCAGGACAUGCAGGUAUGUAUGCAUGCCUUAUCCAGGGAUCAUGGUGAUGUUUAGUCGGUGCAGUUAGGCCGGCCAUGGUACUUAGCUUUUGUAGGAUGAAUAGCAAAUGAUGCAUGCUCCACCCUUGUCUUUACAUGAUGGCUACAUGCAGGGCGGCGUGCUGGACGUGGGGCAGGGCAUCCUCGCGCAUGCCCACGACGUGCUCGACGUCGCGCAGGGCAUCCUCGCGCUCGCCCAGGAGGGUCCAGACCUUGGGGCGCUGCUGGACCAGGUGGAGGCUCUCAUGGACACCGUCACGGCGCUCGUCGACGACGCCACGGCAUUGGUGAACCAGCGACCGGGUGUGCUCGGCAGGGAGGAGGGAUUCGUGGUGCCAAGGAGGACUGCAUUCGGACUGAAGAGAGUUGAACACGCCAAGAUCUAGGGCGUUAGUGUCCGGAGAAUUAGGUGGCUGCAUCACAACCCUAAUGUCCCAACCACCUUGAGCAGCUGCCGCACACACCGCCGGAUCAUCUGGUCGAACAUGUGUCUUGGCAUUGUCCUGUUGGAUGAAAAUAGGCUUGUACCGAUCCUCUUGCGGCCACUUCUCCUUGAUUGCCGGCAACACCUUCGUGAUCAAGUAUUCCCGGCUCUUCUCCAUGCCGACUUUAUCGCAUGGCUUGAGCUCCAACGUUCCUCUAGGCCUGUUUGGGCUUCUCCUCUGUGAUGGUUUCCACUCAACAUAGGGCCAAAUUCCAAUUUUACCAUCAAAAGUACAAUUGCCUUGCAUAUCAUAUCUUGGCCUAGCAACAGCAGCAAGAAACAUGAUCUUCUCAAUGUGUCCCUUGUUUUUGGCGUGCCUCACGGGGUUCGGCUCGUUAAUGCCCAAAUAAACCCCCUGGGUUUUCCUUGUACGAUAAAACCACUUUUCAUCAAUAUGGACCACAUUAAACGAAUCCUUGAAGACAGGGUUCUCCGGCAUACUAGCGGGUUCUAGGUUUGAAAGGCAAUACAUGACACGAGCUUUCUUGUUUUCUUCCGCUAGCAUAGGCUUGAGCUCGUUGGUGUGUUUGCGUAACUCAUGCUCCUUCAAAAGCCUGUGAACGGUGGUCUUCGCCAUGUUCAAUGCACCGGCAACAUCUCUAAUUGUUGUUCGAUCAUUCGGAGGGACGGCGGCUAAAGCAUCUGAGUCCAAUGUAACACGCUUUCUACCAACUCUGCCCGGCCGCUUGUUGAUAACCGCAUUCACACCACCUCCUCUCCUACCAUUAUCCCAUAUCCGCCGAAGAACCCUAACUGACACUUUAUAUAGAGCUGAUAUUUUCUUAGUCACCCCACGUUUCAAUGGACCACGUCCAUUUAUCUCCAAAAUGGCCGUAUACAGUGAACGCUUUUCGUCAUCAGUAUGAAAUGUCCUUCUUUUCCUAUUGGCCAUCACAUCUGGGAACAAACAUAAGAGUAGAAUUUUGUUAAACAACAAGUGUGAAAAUAAGUGUUCAUACAUCUGGGAACAAAUAUAAACAUUAUAAAAAAAUACCUAUUGCUCAUUCUAUAAAGUUGCAGGAAAUAUACAUGUGCAAAAUCCAUCUAUGAAACCGAUAAAAAAAUAUACGCACUGUUCCAUUGCAUAUUCGAACUAAAAAAUAAGUGUUCAUACACAAAGCAAGCAAACCUACUUAGAUCGAUGAUGUUGUUGGUCUCAUGAUCUUCAGCGUUCUGGUCCGUGCCGUCUCCUUCUUCCUCGACGUGCUGGUCCAUGCCAUGUCCGUGCUCCUCGCCGUGCUGGUCCAUGCCGUGGUCGUCCUCGCCGUGCUGGUCCAUGUCGUGGCCGUCCUGGUCGUGCUGGUCCGUACCCUGGCCAUCUUCCUCGCCGUUCUGGUCCGUGCCGUGGCCUUCUUCCUCGACGUGCUGGUCCAUGUCGUGGCCGCCGUACGCGCCGCCAUCGUGAGAACGGAAGGCGCCGCCGUCGUGGGCACCGUACGCGCCGCUGUCGUGUGCAUAGUACGCGCCACCGUCGUGGGCACCGUAUGCGCCGCUGUCGUGUGCACAGUACGCGCCGCCGUCGUGGGCAUCGUACGCGCCGCCGUCGUGUGCACAGUACGCGCCGCCGUCUUCGUGCCUUGUGAACCAACGACUGCCCCGCCAGCCGGACAUACUACCACUGGAGGAGCUCGCCACCGACGGCAACCGACCAGCAAGACCGAGACGAAGAUGGCGUUCAGCGCCGGACGAGCUACCUAUGUCGCGAACGGCAGCGUGUCCUCCCCCGAGGAGCGUGGGGCUGUGCUCGCAGCCUUGUCCACGGCCAGGCGAUGAACCUAUGGAUGCAGGAAAACGCCCACACCGGCGUACACGCCCGGAAAGACCGAGGCGUAGCUGGCCUUGCCCGCAGCCGGCAUGACCAAGACCUGGCCGGCCUUGCCCGCGGCCGUUGCCGGCUUUGUGGCCGAUGUAGAAACAUAUAAUAAGUUCAGGCAAUCACCGGAGCCUCUCCGGUUUACUAAAUACUACUCCCUCCCUCCGUUCACCAUUAUAGGAUGUUCUAACUUUUUUCUGAAACAGAUGUAUAUAGCCGUAUUUUAGUGUAUUUGUUCACUCAUUUCAGUCCAUAUGUAGUCCAUAUUGAAAUAUAAAAAAUAUCUUAAUAGUGAACGGAGGGAGUAGAAGAUAAGGUUUAGAAGUGCUCCUCUACUGAGUAUGAACGAAGUAAAUUAUGGAACUCGCGGCGGAUCUUCCUCAAGUAUGUACAGAUAUAAAUAAAAGAUUGACGUGGGAUCUCNNNNNNNNNNGCUGCGUGCCCUAGGCGAUUAUGCGGUGCCCGCUAACUCCUACCUGCCUCGUGCAUUAAGUUUUCACGUGCAGCUCUUGUGCCAUGGCCGACUAGGAUGUUUUUAGGUGUAUUUUACUUUACUCUUGUGUUAUGGACAGAUACGUGGCCACUCGACCGGUUGUCCUCGUCGACGGUACCUCGCCCAGAAGAUGCCUACUCUCCAUCCUCAUUAGCUUCCGUGUUCUUCUUCUUUUUUCUUUUCUCUUAUUUAUUUUUCAAGAAAACUUCCGAUAUAUUCAUCUGCAAUCAUGGCACUACAACAAACAUCUUAAAUAAUAAAAAUUAUAUCCAGAUCCGUAGACCACCUAGCGACGACUACAAGCAUUGAAGCGAGCUGAAGACGCGCCGCCGUCAUUGCCCCUCCCUUGCAGGAGCUGGACAAAACUUGUUCUAGUAGACAGUCGAAAAAUCGUCGUACUAAGGCAACCGCCGCCGAUGAAGAGAGUAGUGUAGAUCGAAAGAAUUCAAUCUGAAAACACAUGAACAUAGACGAACUAUGAUCAGAUCCGAGCAUAUCCAGCAAGAACAGAUCCGCCGGAGACACACCUCCACAUGCCCAUCGAUGAUGCUAGACACACCAUCGGGAGGGCAGGCUGGGAGAACCUUAUUCCAUCUUCAGGGAGCUGUUGUCGUCUCGUCUUCUUGAAUAGGACACAAACUCUAACAAAAUACGAAGGAACAACUGAAAACAAAGCCCUUCCCCGACAAGGGCCGAGAUCCACCACACCACCAUGGCCCUAAAACCAUCGCAGACGACACGUACCGACGGCAGUACCAGCAGGAGGUGGGGGAACCCUAGACCAGCAAUUUUGUGGCCCAAGUUAGCACCUAGGAAAAAUUCUUCUUCUACUACUUCUUCUCUCUUAGGCUGCCCGUAAUGGAAGUAUCAUACUCCCUCUGUCCGGGUUUAUUGGGCCCCUGGGCGGAGGGAGCUCGUCCGCUCUUAUUAGGCCCCUUAAUCGAUAUGGCUGCCAAAAGCAGAAAACGCUUCGUUGCUUUCUCGAUCUCCUCAGCCGCGGUUCAUCUUCCGAAGCGCAUUAAAUUUCCAUCCGCUGGCAUGCAGAAGAAGCUGCUAUACAUUGAGCGGACUAGUACUCCUAGCACAACGCCACAACAGUAGUCCCAGGAAAGAAACCAGCGUCUCGCCGGCCGGAUGCAGCGCUGUACCAGCAAUGUCGUCGCGACCGAAGGCGGAGCACAGCGUCGACGUUGAUCCGGACGCGGAGACCCAGUCCGGGCUGGGCUUGGACGCGUCGCCGACCAACCUCGCCGCUGCUGGGCACGCAGAGCUCGGUGUCCAUGGUGCGUCGCUGGCGGAGCACAGCGUGGACGUCGAUCCGGACGCGGAGACCCAGUCCGGGCUGGGCUUAGGCGCGCCACUGCCAGACCUCGUCGCUGCUGGGCACGCAGACCUCGGCGUCCAUGAUGCGCCGCAGGCCGAGCACGACAUGAAGGUCGCUCCCGAUGCGGAGACCCAGGCGGAGCUGGGCUUGGGCGUCCAGGACAUGCAGGUAUGUAUGCAUGCCUUAUCCAGGGAUCAUGGUGAUGUUUAGUCGGUGCAGUUAGGCCGGCCAUGGUACUUAGCUUUUGUAGGAUGAAUAGCAAACGAUGCAUGCUCCACCCUUGUCUUUACAUGAUGGCUACAUGCAGGGCGGCGUGCUGGACGUGGGGCAGGGCAUCCUCGCGCAUGCCCACGACGUGCUCGACGUCGCGCAGGGCAUCCUCGCGCUCGCCCAGGAGGGUCCAGACCUUGGGGCGCUGCUGGACCAGGUGGAGGCUCUCAUGGACACCGUCACGGCGCUCGUCGACGACGCCACGGCAUUGGUGAACCAGCGACCGGGUGUGCUCGGCAGGGAGGAGGGAUUCGUGGUGCCAAGGAGGACUGCAUUCGGACUGAAGAGAGUUGAACACGCCAAGAUCUAGGGCGUUAGUGUCCGGAGAAUUAGGUGGCUGCAUCACAACCCUAAUGUCCCAACCACCUUGAGCAGCUGCCGCACACACCGCCGGAUCAUCUGGUCGAACAUGUGUCUUGGCAUUGUCCUGUUGGAUGAAAAUAGGCUUGUACCGAUCCUCUUGCGGCCACUUCUCCUUGAUUGCCGGCAACACCUUCGUGAUCAAGUAUUCCCGGCUCUUCUCCAUGCCGACUUUAUCGCAUGGCUUGAGCUCCAACGUUCCUCUAGGCCUGUUUGGGCUUCUCCUCUGUGAUGGUUUCCACUCAACAUAGGGCCAAAUUCCAAUUUUACCAUCAAAAGUACAAUUGCCUUGCAUAUCAUAUCUUGGCCUAGCAACAGCAGCAAGAAACAUGAUCUUCUCAAUGUGUCCCUUGUUUUUGGCGUGCCUCACGGGGUUCGGCUCGUUAAUGCCCAAAUAAACCCCCUGGGUUUUCCUUGUACGAUAAAACCACUUUUCAUCAAUAUGGACCACAUUAAACGAAUCCUUGAAGACAGGGUUCUCCGGCAUACUAGCGGGUUCUAGGUUUGAAAGGCAAUACAUGACACGAGCUUUCUUGUUUUCUUCCGCUAGCAUAGGCUUGAGCUCGUUGGUGUGUUUGCGUAACUCAUGCUCCUUCAAAAGCCUGUGAACGGUGGUCUUCGCCAUGUUCAAUGCACCGGCAACAUCUCUAAUUGUUGUUCGAUCAUUCGGAGGGACGGCGGCUAAAGCAUCUGAGUCCAAUGUAACACGCUUUCUACCAACUCUGCCCGGCCGCUUGUUGAUAACCGCAUUCACACCACCUCCUCUCCUACCAUUAUCCCAUAUCCGCCGAAGAACCCUAACUGACACUUUAUAUAGAGCUGAUAUUUUCUUAGUCACCCCACGUUUCAAUGGACCACGUCCAUUUAUCUCCAAAAUGGCCGUAUACAGUGAACGCUUUUCGUCAUCAGUAUGAAAUGUCCUUCUUUUCCUAUUGGCCAUCACAUCUGGGAACAAACAUAAGAGUAGAAUUUUGUUAAACAACAAGUGUGAAAAUAAGUGUUCAUACAUCUGGGAACAAAUAUAAACAUUAUAAAAAAAAUACCUAUUGCUCAUUCUGUAAAGUUGCAGGAAAUAUACAUGUGCAAAAUCCAUCUAUGAAACCGAUAAAAAAAUAUACGCACUGUUCCAUUGCAUAUUCGAACUAAAAAAUAAGUGUUCAUACACAAAGCAAGCAAACCUACUUAGAUCGAUGAUGUUGUUGGUCUCAUGAUCUUCAGCGUUCUGGUCCGUGCCGUCUCCUUCUUCCUCGACGUGCUGGUCCAUGCCAUGUCCGUGCUCCUCGCCGUGCUGGUCCAUGCCGUGGUCGUCCUCGCCGUGCUGGUCCAUGUCGUGGCCGUCCUGGCCGUGCUGGUCCGUACCCUGGCCAUCUUCCUCACCGUUCUGGUCCGUGCCGUGGCCUUCUUCCUCGACGUGCUGGUCCAUGUCGUGGCCGCCGUACGCGCCGCCAUCGUGAGAACGGAAGGCGCCGCCGUCGUGGGCACCGUACGCGCCGCUGUCGUGUGCAUAGUACGCGCCACCGUCGUGGGCACCGUAUGCGCCGCUGUCGUGUGCACAGUACGCGCCGCCGUCGUGGGCAUCGUACGCGCCGCCGUCGUGUGCACAGUACGCGCCGCCGUCUUCGUGCCUUGUGAACCAACGACUGCCCCGCCAGCCGGACAUACUACCACUGGAGGAGCUCGCCACCGACGGCAACCGACCAGCAAGACCGAGACGAAGAUGGCGUUCAGCGCCGGACGAGCUACCUAUGUCGCGAACGGCAGCGUGUCCUCCCCCGAGGAGCGUGGGGCUGUGCUCGCAGCCUUGUCCACGGCCAGGCGAUGAACCUAUGGAUGCAGGAAAACGCCCACACCGGCGUACACGCCCGGAAAGACCGAGGCGUAGCUGGCCUUGCCCGCAGCCGGCAUGACCAAGACCUGGCCGGCCUUGCCCGCGGCCGUUGCCGGCUUUGUGGCCGAUGUAGAAACAUAUAAUAAGUUCAGGCAAUCACCGGAGCCUCUCCGGUUUACUAAAUACUACUCCCUCCCUCCGUUCACCAUUAUAGGAUGUUCUAACUUUUUUCUGAAACAGAUGUAUAUAGCCGUAUUUUAGUGUAUUUGUUCACUCAUUUCAGUCCAUAUGUAGUCCAUAUUGAAAUAUAAAAAAUAUCUUAAUAGUGAACGGAGGGAGUAGAAGAUAAGGUUUAGAAGUGCUCCUCUACUGAGUAUGAACGAAGUAAAUUAUGGAACUCGCGGCGGAUCUUCCUCAAGUAUGUACAGAUAUAAAUAAAAGAUUGACGUGGGAUCUCAGUGCAUUUUAUUUUCUUGAUCAAAAGAGAGGCCCCCCUCUCCGAUUUCACUAAGAGAAACCAAGGUUCACAGCUACUACUAGGGUUUUUGUUACCCCGCACACGACAUACUAUCUUACAUGACCGGGGAUUACGACGAACCCCAGCCCAGCACCUCAAAAGGAUCGUGCAAGAUCUGAAAAUGAAAGCAGAGCACCCACACAACACUUCAGACACAGCAUACAGUAGUUGGAAGCAAAGCCUAGCACAUCAUAGCUAAAGCAAGAACUAGAUAACGGCUGAGGCAGCAGCAACGACGAAGAAGGUAAGCCACUGGGAAGACGAUCGGGACCUCAGCGCAUGCUCAUACAUGAUCAAGCAUCGACGGAUGCAAUGUUGGUGGCAUCGUUGCAGAACCGGCCGCACGCAUCGCCGCAGCGCCCCACGCCGACUUUCGUGUCUUCGCCAAGCUCAGCUGAUGACAAGAUCAAGAUAUGUGCAAUGCUCAUUCCAAACCGAAAAAAAAACUUUUCCCUCUUAUGAUAAAUUGAAAGUUAUAUAUACAGAUGAUGAGUUAAUUCAGAUACUACCUGAAUUGACGUUGUCACAGACUGAGAGCCUACAUCCUAAUUUGCAGUACUCAAUGGCGUCUGGUUCUUCUUCCGCAACAGCAGGAGCAAGCAUUAGUCAACCAGCCGUUAAUUGCAAUUUCUAUGCAUCUGGGAGCAAAAUGAUGUAGAGAAAACAGGAAGGGUGGCUUGGGUUCACGUACCAGCUGAACCGGGGAGAAGGUUGAGCUUAGGGUAUUCCCUGGGGCAUGUGCUGUCCCUUGUGAGCACACAGCCACACAUUUUUGAGCAGGGAGUACUNNNNNNNNNNNNNNNNNNNNNNNNNNNNNNNNNNNNNNNNNNNNNNNNNNNNNNNNNNNNNNNNNNNNNNNNNNNNNNNNNNNNNNNNNNNNNNNNNNNNGGGGCUGUGCUCGCAGCCUUGUCCACGGCCAGGCGAUGAACCUAUGGAUGCAGGAAAACGCCCACACCGGCGUACACGCCCGGAAAGACCGAGGCGUAGCUGGCCUUGCCCGCAGCCGGCAUGACCAAGACCUGGCCGGCCUUGCCCGCGGCCGUUGCCGGCUUUGUGGCCGAUGUAGAAACAUAUAAUAAGUUCAGGCAAUCACCGGAGCCUCUCCGGUUUACUAAAUACUACUCCCUCCCUCCGUUCACCAUUAUAGGAUGUUCUAACUUUUUUCUGAAACAGAUGUAUAUAGCCGUAUUUUAGUGUAUUUGUUCACUCAUUUCAGUCCAUAUGUAGUCCAUAUUGAAAUAUAAAAAAUAUCUUAAUAGUGAACGGAGGGAGUAGAAGAUAAGGUUUAGAAGUGCUCCUCUACUGAGUAUGAACGAAGUAAAUUAUGGAACUCGCGGCGGAUCUUCCUCAAGUAUGUACAGAUAUAAAUAAAAGAUUGACGUGGGAUCUCAGUGCAUUUUAUUUUCUUGAUCAAAAGAGAGGCCCCCCUCUCCGAUUUCACUAAGAGAAACCAAGGUUCACAGCUACUACUAGGGUUUUUGUUACCCCGCACACGACAUACUAUCUUACAUGACCGGGGAUUACGACGAACCCCAGCCCAACACCUCAAAAGGAUCGUGCAAGAUCUCAAAAUAAAAGCAGAGCACCCACACAACACUUCAGACACAGCAUACAGUAGUUGGAAGCAAAGCCUAGCACAUCAUAGCUAAAGCAAGAACUAGAUAAUGGCUGAGGCAGCAGCAACGACGAAGAAGGUAAGCCACUGGGAAGACGAUCGGGACCUCAGCGCAUGCUCAUACAUGAUCAAGCAUCGACGGAUGCAAUGUUGGUGGCAUCGUUGCAGAACCGGCCGC